rnacentral:rRNA from 1 species
UACGUAGGGGGCAAGCGUUGUCCGGAUUUAUUGGGCGUAAAGAGCGUGUAGGCGGUUUGGUAGGUCCGUUGUGAAAACUCGAGGCUCAACCUCGAGACGCCGAUGGAAACCAUCAGACUAGAGUCCGGAAGAGGAUGGUGGAACUCUCGGUGUAGAGGUGAAAUUCGUAGAUAUCGAGAAGAACACCGGUGGCGAAGGCGGCCAUCUGGACGGUGACUGACGCUGAGACGCGAAAGCGUGGGGAGCAAACAGG